rfam:Canis lupus familiaris chromosome 1, whole genome shotgun sequence.
GCCUGGCUGGCUCAGUUGGUAGAGCAUGUGACUCUUGAUUUUGGAAUUGUGAGUUCAAGCCCCAUGUUGGGUG